UCCUUCAACCCCCCCCCCACACACACUGCUGCCUGAUUCCAGCUAACCUUUUCCCCCUUUUCUUUCCAGACGGUUUUCUUUCUCCGACUAUCUAGUGUGUCUAUGUACGUUUGACAGUCUGAAACGCCUUUGUCUUGCAGAGAGAGCCAUGGACGGGACGACAGCGCACCACUCCCAGCUCCCGAGAGCCUAACCCGUGGACAUGAGAGCACAACGUCACAAGUUAGGGUCUCAGGGAUUGCGAGAGGCACAUUUUAUAGUUGUACUAUUUCUACUCCCAGACAGACCGUGAUUUGAAUUAAUCAUGCUGGCUUGAGAGUACCAAAUAGACCAGAAAGAAACACACGAUAUUCAUGACAAUAAAGGCUUCCUUCCGUGAGGUAUUUGUGCAACGCAUCCCCCCCUUCUCUGCCUCUCUGCCUGUAACAUACAACAAGUGCAACCGUAAGCCAGACACAACAUCGACCAAUCUCCCCCUCCCCCUCUCUCUCUCUGGAGACCCCCACCUCCCACCGACACUCUCUCGCUGUCUCUCUACCUAUGUCUCUCCCUAUCUCUCUCUUUCUCUCUCUCUCUCUCAACCCCUGGACAAAACAAUACGGCACUUUGAAAAAUGCUCCUGGCUCCAGGUAAACCCAACGCUAGCUUUCGGUUCCUUAAGCUCCCAUGCACUCUAUUCCCAGGCUGCAGCUGCUAGUUAUUAAGGGAUGGCCAGACAUAAUCCUGGUUCAGCAGCCAGCAGCACACCAACCAACGAUUCAAAACGACUAUAAAGAAUAACCAAGGAAAAGAACACAAAGUCAGUUUAUCUUGAAACAUUCACGUGACUCAUUUCAUUUCAAUAUUAGGAGGGCAGAGCGAUGAUCUGGAUAUGCACACGAGGAUGGCUGAAUAUGAAUCCUCACUGAACCUACCACGACCAGUUUGAGACAGGGAGGUGUAAGGGAGGCAGGCAGUCUCAAUCUACAGCCAUAGAUUAGGAAAUAUGGAUUGAGAAAUAAACAAGAGAGCGGCAGGAAAACGGCUUCAAUCAACUCACCCACGUCUGGUUCGGAAUGAGGAGGCAGCAGCCCUUGUCCCUUGUUGCAGCCUGCUCGACACACAGAGAAAGAGAGAGAGAGAAACGAACUCAGGUUUAAACUCAUGUCGACAAGGUUUCGGACAAGAUCGUGCAGGCUUUACAGACGGUUACAGGGAGAAAGUGGCACGAGUGGGGAGCGAUGGGUCAGUCGAUGACAAGGAGACGAAGCGAACCGACGGAUGGACGGAUAUAAGAAAAGGAGGAGAGAGAAUGGGUGUGCAGAACAGAAACAAAUGCAAAAUUGGAAGAAGGGAGAAAGGAAGAAAUAAAACUGAAUCCCAAGUCCCCCGUUCUCGUCUUCAUGCAUCUGUGUUGAAAGGCAGGAGAUGAAAAAAUGCUUUUCCAAAUAAAUGUUGAAAUAUCAUCCAUUAA